rnacentral:tRNA from 1 species
CAAAAUAUAGUUUAAUUAAAAUGAUUUAUUUACAUUAAAUAGAUAUUUAAUAUUGUUUUGA